rnacentral:rRNA from 1 species
UGAGGAACAUGACCUUCGGCGGGGGAUAGCCGGCCCAACGGCCGGGUAAUACCGCGUACGACCACAUGGGGACAUCCCCGAGUGGUGAAAGCAGCAAUGCGCCGAUGGAGUGCCUCGCGGCCUAUCAGCUAGUUGGUGAGGUAACGGCUCACCAAGGCGACGACGGGUAGCUGGUCUGAGAGGAUGGCCAGCCACAUUGGGACUGAGACACGGCCAGACCUCCGUAGGGACGG